UCUUAGAUGCCAAAAGCAGAAACUCCCCGAGGUCAAACCUGAAAUUCCGCUUUGAUAAGCUCAGUCACGCCAGCUCCAGUGCGGGUCACUAAUGUGAAAGAGGAGCCCUUCGCCUGUCAAAGGGAAGCUCUGAUUCUGUCUCGGAGAAGACUCCUAUUCCAGCAGUUUGGGGGUGUCAUCCACUACUCUUACUGUCACAGGCCUGCUGCCCCACUGGCCACCUGCCCACCAGACCAGCUGUCUGUCCCAGUGUCCCGACCUGGCCACGGCCCUACCCGCCUCUUCGCCAAGACACCCUGCCAGCCCCUCCUCAUCUCUGGACAAAGCCUCAUUUUUCCAGGCUCCGCUGCUCCUGACUGCCCGAUGUGCUGUGUGUCUGGGUCAUUUGUCAUCUUUUUUUGUCUGCAGAGGCAAGAGCUGGGCAAGGGGGAUCUGGGUACUGGUGACUCAGAGACCGGAGAGGAGAGAGAGUGGCGAGGUGGGGAGCAGAGGCCGACAGCAGGACUGCGCCCAGGGAGGGACAGUGCUGUGUCCUGGACAUGGCAGGCACAGCGAAUGAAUUUAGUGGUAGUGGUGGGAGCACUUUUUCCAGAAGCCAAAAUUUGCAGCUCCUCAAAGUUGUCCUGAUAGAAAUCGGCUCUGUUGCUGCCCUCUCGGGAGGUCCCAAACAUCCAUUUGCUUCUGUGCUACGGACUUCUUACCCGCUUGCUGACCUCAGGCCCAAGGCAGCCUCCAUCUCUGCUGCCAGUGUGUCUCGAGCAGCCCAGCUGGCUGAAGCUGAGACAGAGCUGGGCAUGGGUGGGAGUGGGCGCCCCCUCUUCCUUGACUGCCUAAUUUCACACAGGCUCCCGGUUGCGGUCUCUGUGGGAGAAGCCCUGUGUCAGUCUCUCCCCGUUGAGCAGAUGUUUUUCCCAUGAAGGGGUGGGCAGCCAGGAGUGAGAAGGGAUUCUUGGAGAGCACGCCAGUGAGCGCUGGGGCCUUGGCUGAGGAAAACCUCAGACUGAGGGCUAGGCCAGGAUCCAGGUCUCUGCUGGGUGUGGAGGUUCAUGGGCGAGUGUCUUCAGCCUACCUCUUAGGCGAGAGCCCGAGACGUGAGGUGGGGAUGACUUGUCCGGUGUGGUCAGGCCCACGUGCGGGUGGAGAACUUGGCUGUGGCAAAGGAGCAGUGUCCUGCAUUUUAUGUUCCUGGUAUCUUGUGGGGUGCCCCGCGCUGCCUGGGGGGCUCUUUCUAGCUACUGUGUCCUUUGGCUAUAUCAAGGCUUGGUCCCUCAGACCACUUCUUCCCCUCUGCAACCGUGGGUCCAUGGGCAGUUGUCACAUUGGUGGGAUUCCUGUAACCUGAGCCCCAGCUGGGUGCAGCUCAGACACUGCUGC